UAUUGAAAACAAAGCAUUUCACAACACGAAAGUUCAAGCACCCAAAACGCAUAUUCUUGAACAAGCAAUACAUCGUUUCCAACCAUGGCCGAUGCAGCAGCCGCUAUUGCAAUUUGCAGUGUGAUUUUUGCACUGUUUGUUGUCUUCUGGAUUGGAAGUAUGUGCUACUUCAGGACCCCGUGUAAAGAUCUGAAGAAGGAAACUCACUAUAUUGAACAAGGAAACCUCAGUUAGGCAGAGAAGAGCGAUUCUGAUAUUCAUUAGCUUAGCAAGUUUUAUAGAUCUUUUAACUUCUCAAGGGACCGAAGGAGCAGUUACCUUUAUCAUACAGACAUGAGGAUAUUUUUUGUGACAUUUCUACCGAUGUUAAGUGCAGUACCUCUAUCUCAACCAUCCCACAAUGGGCGGGACGAGCUCUUUGCUUUCUACAUUUUCAAUUCGUUAAUUGAACUUUUGUUAUCAUUUUCAGUCCUGUUUUAUACUCUUCAUAAAUUGUAAACUGUAUGCUGUAAAUUCUUGACUGUCAGAUAAAUCGUACAGAGGUUAGUAGUAAAGUACCGCUGAUAGUGCUGUUUUCUUAUCACUGUAAAGGGGUUAAAAUCAAUUUUUGAAGUUUUCCUCUUAGCUUCAAAAUCUGUACUACUUUCGCAACUCGGUUCGCUGCGGGAACGUCGUUCAAAGUAACCGAAGACAUUUAACACUUCCUAAACUGAGAUACAGACACCCUUAAAAUAGUGGUAAAGGUAAGUUGGAAUAAAAUAGGAUCUACCUGAA